rnacentral:rRNA from 1 species
UUCGCCUACGGGACGCAGCAGUGGGGGAUAUUGCACAAUGGGGGGAACCCUGAUGCAGCGACGCCGCGUGGGUGAAGGAGCGUUUCGGCGCGUAAAGCCCUAUCAGCAGGGAAGAAGGAGGACGGUACCUGACUAAGAAGCCCCGGCUAACUACGUGCCAGCAGCCGCGGUAAUACGUAGGGGGCAAGCGUUAUCCGGAUUUACUGGGUGUAAAGGGGGCGCAGACGGCAGCGCAAGCCAGGAGUGAAAGCCCGGGGCCCAACCCCGGGACUGCAUUGGGAACUGCCCCGCUCGAGUGCCGGAGG